rnacentral:tRNA from 2 species
GGGCGAUUAGCUCAGUGGUAGAGCGCCCGGUUUACACCCGGUAGGUCAGAGGUUCGAACCCUCUAUCGCCCACCA